AAGAGACAGCAGUAGCCGCGGUAAUACGUAGGGUGCAAGCGUUAAUCGGAAUUACUGGGCGUAAAGCGUGCGCAGGCGGUUAUAUAAGACAGAUGUGAAAUCCCCGGGCUCAACCUGGGAACUGCAUUUGUGACUGUAUAGCUAGAGUACGGCAGAGGGGGAUGGAAUUCCGCGUGUAGCAGUGAAAUGCGUAGAUAUGCGGAGGAACACCGAUGGCGAAGGCAAUCCCCUGGGCCUGUACUGACGCUCAUGCACGAAAGCGUGGGGAGCAAACAGGAUUAGAGACCCCCGUAGUCCCUGUCUCUUAUAA
rnacentral:rRNA from 1 species